CUCCAUCGCAGUUGCCUGACCUGCUGAGUUCCUCCAGCCCUUGGUGUGCGUUGCUCCAGCUUCCAGCAGCUGCAGAGUCUCUUGUGACAAGAUGCUGCCUGACUUGCUGAGUUCCUCCACCAUUUUGUGUGUGUUGCUCCAGAAUCCAGCAUCUGCAGAACCUUUUGUCUCCACCCACUCAGCUUGUCCAUUUCCCCUUUACCACCGCCUCCUCUUUGCAAGAACAGGCACUUGUCCUGAUCAAUGGAAGAUGAAGAAGACUCCACAAAUAGCAGCAGACUCCAACUGUGGCUCAUUUCAGCCAGCCCCAAGAGGACACCAAGCUACUUGUUCAGUGGCAGCGCCUGCGAGGUGACAUUACACUAAUAUUCGACGGUAAUAUUAAUUGUUCAGAUAAUGCUGCAUUAGCUAAAGCUCAUCUGAGGAACUGCAGAUCGUGAUGAACAAGUUCACUGAUCCACAUAACAAAUUUGGCAUGUCAAUUAAUGUCAAAUAAACAGUUGCAGCAACAACCCAAACAGAAUUUACAACAAUAAUGAAGCUCUGAAUGCCAUAGAUCACUUCUGCUAACUCACUUUAAUUCUUACCAACUUAUUUAGUUUUGAUGGGCAAAAACAAAACAGUAAAAAUCUCUGGUCACCUUUGGCAAACUUCAAUCAGAUAUUUGGAAAACAAAAAUCAAACUGUUAACUGAAUAAAAAAAAAUUCUAUCAGAA